rnacentral:sRNA from 1 species
UGCAGCGUUGUAUAUCCGACGGAGAAUA